GUGACCGCCGCCAUGCGCGGGCACGGCGCUCCUGUGAUGCGCGCCGUCUCCCUCCGGGCCGUGCGGUGACGCCGCCACACUGGGACAUCGAGACACUGGCACACCGGGACUUCUGCACACUGGGAUACCGGCACACCGAGACACUGGCACUCUGUCCCCGUGCCUGCUGUCCGGCCGGCUGAGGAGCGCAGGGGCCCGGCCCGUGGGGCGCACAGCCAGGGGGUUGCAGUGUCCCGGAGUUUGUCCUGCGGAGGGCAACAAAGAUGAAGGGACCGGAGCAAGUUUUAACAAGGACAGGUUGGGGGAGCUGGGCCUGGAGAAGAGACCUCGUCAAUGUCUAUAAGUGUGUUAAGGAGCAGUGCCGACAGGGUGCUUCCAGGCUUUCCUUAUGGUGCCCAGCAAUAGGACAAGAGGCAACGGGCAGAAACUGAUGCGCAGGAAGAUCCCGCUGAACCCUUCAAUGGAUUCCUGAAAGUUCUGAUUACCCAAGAAUCCCUGUUGCCUGCUUUUAUGACUCCAGCCUGUAUAGUUUGAAGAGAAGCUUGAUGACACCAACUCAAAGGCUCAAAAAGACAAAAGCAGUUGACAAAAAGAAUACCAAGUCUGUUAAUUUCUGGGGUUAUGUUUCUCAAACUUUGCUGCUCUGCUGGCAGGACUGGCAUCACUGCACAGAGCAGUGCAGGUAGAAAAGACUUGGUGGAAAUCCUCUGCUUACCAACUUGAAUUAAAAAUGUAUCAGCCAGGAAGUUCACUGCAGACAGCAAAGCAGGCAGACAUUCUGUAGCUGCUGAUCUUAUUGGCUACCCAGGUUUCUGCAAAUAGGGCUUUGUGCCUGAAAUUGUGUAGCUUUAAGUACCCGCGUACCACUGAAGACAUCUCACCUUGUAACAUUAAGAAUACAUAUAAAUAUUGCUGUGUCAGGGCCUGGCAGUGCAAAAACAGUUAAUUUCAGUUAUCUGGUAAGAGCUAACUCAAAGUUGUUUACUGACAAAAGAAGGGAGAAGUUUAGAGUGGCGUUUUUAAUUCUUUGUACUGCUAUGAUGGCUUAGGCCCCUGUAUUUCCACAAGACUUCAGAGCAGUUUCUUUGCAUACAGAGGAAAGUAUGUGAACAGCUGUCUAGCAAGAAGGAAAGAAAUUGAAAUACCUGAGGAAAAAAAUCUCAGAAAGGAAAAGGAACAAAACCAGAAAUUCUUCUUUCAUCUGCUGUGCUAAUGCAUAAGCAUAAACCUAACAAUCAACCAACGAUGCAACACAGCAAGGGUGCUGCAGAAAUACUGAAAUACACAAUGUAAAUGCAAAUACCUUUAAAAUAAAAUGAAGUAAAAGUUUGCAAAUUCCAA